CAGUCGCCACGGUAAUACAGAGGGUGCAAGCGUUAAUCGGAAUUACUGGGCGUAAAGCGCGCGUAGGUGGUUUGUUAAGUUGGAUGUGAAAUCCCCGGGCUCAACCUGGGAAUGGCAAUGGAUACUGGCAAGCUAGAGUGUGUCAGAGGAUGGUGGAAUUCCCGGUGUAGCGGUGGAAUGCGUAGAGAUCGGGAGGAACAUCAGUGGCGAAGGCGGCCAUCUGGGACAACACUGACGCUGAGGCACGAAAGCGUGGGGAGCAAACAGGAUUAGAUACCCCGUAGUCCCGUCUCUUAUACAC
rnacentral:rRNA from 1 species